GACGAACGCUGGCGGCGUGCUUAACACAUGCAAGUCGAACGGAAAGGCCCUGCUUUUGUGGGGUGCUCGAGUGGCGAAAGGGUGAGUAACACGUGAGUAACCUGCCCUUGACUUUGGGAUAACUUCAGGAAACUGGGGCUAAUACCGGAUAGGAGCUCUUGCUGCAUGGUGGGGGUUGGAAAGUUUCGGCGGUUGGGGAUGGACUCGCGGCUUAUCAGCUUGUUGGUGGGGUAGUGGCUUACCAAGGCUUUGACGGGUAGCCGGCCUGAGAGGGUGACCGGCCACAUUGGGACUGAGAUACGGCCCAGACUCCUACGGGAGGCAGCAGUGGGGAAUAUUGCACAAUGGGCGGAAGCCUGAUGCAGCAACGCCGCGUGCGGGAUGACGGCCUUCGGGUUGUAAACCGCGUUCGCCUGUGACGAAGCGUGAGUGACGGUAAUGGGUAAAGAAGCACCGGCUAACUACGUG
rnacentral:rRNA from 1 species